AUUGAACGCUGGCGGCAGGCCUAACACAUGCAAGUCGAGCGGAUGAAGAGAGCUUGCUCUCUGAUUUAGCGGCGGACGGGUGAGUAAUGCCUAGGAAUCUGCCUGGUAGUGGGGGAUAACGUUCCGAAAGGAACGCUAAUACCGCAUACGUCCUACGGGAGAAAGCAGGGGACCUUCGGGCCUUGCGCUAUCAGAUGAGCCUAGGUCGGAUUAGCUAGUUGGUGAGGUAAUGGCUCACCAAGGCUACGAUCCGUAACUGGUCUGAGAGGAUGAUCAGUAAAACUGGAACUGGGACACGGUCCAGACUCCUACGGGGGGCAGCAGUGGGGAAUAUUGGACAAUGGGCGAAAGCCUGAUCCAGCCAUGCCGCGUGUGUGAAGAAGGUCUUCGGAUUGUAAAGCACUUUAAGUUGGGAGGAAGGGUUGUAGAUUAAUACUCUGCAAUUUUGACGUUACCGACAGAAUAAGCACCGGCUAACUCUGUGCCAGCAGCCGCCGUAACAC
rnacentral:rRNA from 1 species